GGGGAUAUAGCUCAGUCGGUAGAGCAUGAGGCUCUUAAUCUCAGGGUUGUGGGUUCAGGCCCCAUGUUGGGAAAAAGAUUCCCG